CAAUAGCGUAUAUUAAAGUUGUUGCGGUUAAAAAGCUCGUAGUUGGAGUUCUGCCAGGUGCCGCCUGUCCGCCCCAGUGGUGAGUACGUGGCGCGCAUUUGGCCCUUUCAAGGGGAGCGUAUCUGCACUUUAUUGUGUGGUGCGGGAUCCUUGACUUUUACUUUGAGGAAAUAGGAGUGUUCCAAGCAGGCUCUCGUCGUGCACAGCUCAGCAUGGAAUAAUAGCAUUGGACCUCGAUUCUAAGCUGUUGGUUGCCAGAAGCGAGGUAAUGAUGAAGAGGGAUAGUUGGGGGCAUUCGUAUUUAACUGUCAGAGGUGAAAUUCUUGGAUUUGUUAAAGACGAACUACUGCGAAAGCAUUUGCCAAGGAUGUUUUCAUUAA
rnacentral:rRNA from 1 species